rnacentral:rRNA from 1 species
UACGAGUGGUGCAAACGUUAUUCGGAAUCACUGGGCUUAAAGGGUGCGUAGGCGGCCAUGAAGGUCUGAUGUGAAAUACCACGGCUCAACCGUGGAAUGGCAUUGGAAACCAUAUGGCUGGAGUGAGACAGAGGUGAGCGGAACAGAUGGUGGAGCGGUGAAAUGCGUUGAUAUCAUCUGGAACACCGGUGGCGAAAGCGGCUCACUGGGUCUUUACUGACGCUGAGGCACGAAAGCUAGGGGAGCAAACGGG